rnacentral:tRNA from 1 species
GGCCUCGUAGCUCAGUUGGCAAGAGCGUAGGCUGUACUAAAGUCUUCCCCUUGCGGGUGUGGGUUCGAAUCCCACCGAGGGCG